rnacentral:rRNA from 1 species
AACGAACGCUGGCGGCAGGCCUAACACAUGCAAGUCGAGCGAGAUCUUCGGGUCUAGCGGCGGACGGGUGAGUAACGCGUGGGAAUAUGCCCUUCUCUGCGGAAUAGCCUCGGGAAACUGAGCGUAAUACCGCAUACGCCCUUUGGGGGAAAGAUUUAUCGGAGAAGGAUUAGCCCGCGUUGGAUUAGGUAGUUGGUGGGGUAACGGCCUACCAAGCCGACGAUCCAUAGCUGGUUUGAGAGGAUGAUCAGCCACACUGGGACUGAGACACGGCCCAGACUCCUACGGGAGGCAGCAGUGGGGAAUCUUAGACAAUGGGGGCAACCCUCAUCUAGCCAUGCCGCGUGAGUGAUGAAGGCCUUAGGGUUGUAAAGCUCUUUCAGCUGGGAAGAUAAUGACGGUACCAGCAGAAGAAGCCCCGGCUAACUCCGUG